rnacentral:rRNA from 1 species
AGAGUUUGAUCCUGGCUCAGAUUGAACGCUAGCGGCAUGCCUUACACAUGCAAGUCGAACGGCAGCACGGGGGCAACCCUGGUGGCGAGUGGCGAACGGGUGAGUAAUGCAUCGGAACGUGCCCAACGAUGGGGGAUAACUGCGCGAAAGCGUUGCUAAUGCCGCAUACGACCUACGGGUGAAAGCAGGGGACCGCAAGGCCUUGCGUCGAUGGAGCGGCCGAUGUCGGAUUAGCUAGUUGGUGAGGUAAAGGCUCACCAAGGCGACGAUCCGUAGCUGGUCUGAGAGGACGACCAGCCACACUGGGACUGAGACACGGCCCAGACUCCUACGGGAGGCAGCAGUGGGGAAUCUUGGACAAUGGGGGCAACCCUGAUCCAGCAAUGCCGCGUGUGGGAAGAAGGCCUUCGGGUUGUAAACCACUUUUGGCAGGGAAGAAAUAGCCUGUGCGAAUACCACGGGUUGAUGACGGUACCUGCAGAAUAAGCACCGGCUAACUACGUGCCAGCAGCCGCGGU